AGCAAUACCAUUAAUUAAGUCUAUUUGUGGUGUUUGGUGUUUUUGGGGAUUCAAAUAUAAAUAAAACGCAAACCCCCAAACCAAACCAAACCAAAAAGUGCGGACAUACUCUGUUCCUCAAAAACAGACCUCUUCUCUUUACUUCUCAACAUUCAAUUCCAGGCUCCUUUCUCUAUCUUCAGCAAUUUCCCCAAUCUCUUCAAAGAAUUCUCAAACCCUAGAUUUCGACGUUGAACCUCACUUAUCGUGUUCGAUGCCGGUAGCCGCCUCAAAGUUGCUGUUCUUAUUAGCUUAAUCUCAUGAUGAUGCCUUCCUUAGCUUUUCCUUCUCCUCUUAUCCAGAAGUUCAUUGGAAUCGCAGCACCGACUCCUUCCCUCGCUUUUCCGGUAAGUAGACGUCAUUAGAUCUGUGAUUUUGUAUUUUUUAAAAUGAAAUUUCUUGUUAUUAAAACGGUUUUUGAUUUUGCUUUUUUUAUAUGGAUCGAAACUCGGAUUCGAGUCGCUCGUUUCUCCGAGGAAUUGACGUAAACAGACCAGCCGGCGGUGACGAAGAGGACGCCGGAGUUUCAUCCCCGAACAGCACCGUCUCGUGGAUUAAGCGAUGACGAAGACGGUGAAGUCGAAAGAGCUUCGUUUCGUGGAUGACGAAGACGGCGGUGAAAACAAAGGAAGAAACUCCGGUUAACAAAAGACCAAUCCGCCAUCCUCCGCCAUAGCUUCGAAGCUCGCUAAUCUACUGAGCUUUUACCAAUCGGGAAUGAUGGCGUAACAAUUGAUAGAUGGAGUUUUUGAUUUCAAGAGCACAUCUGUAUCACUUGGAAAUGCUCACUUCAUGAUUUUGUCAUUGAAAUGUAUUUUUUUUAAUGAUCUUGAUAUCACGAGCACAUUUCCAUCACAUGGAAUCAGCUCACUUUUUGAUAUUCAUCAUGUAACACUUGUAGUUUAAAGUUUGGGGAAUGAUAGUGGGAUUGGCCUGGCCA